UGAAAGAAAUCUUGAAUGCAUCAUUGGCCUCAAGACCAGGCUCAAUCAAUAUUUACAGCGAUGAGCUGGGUCGUGGUGUCGGAAUGCAACUGAGUAAGUUGUACGAAGGACAGUCAGUAUGCAAUACCUGUAUGCCGGGUGCUACAUUUGAACAAAUAUCAAAUAAAGUUUUAAGCAUUACUCACUGCCCGAAUACUACAUUAAUAAUAUUGUCAGGGAGACGGGGAAAUGUCAAUAAAGAUCAAUUGGAAAAGUAUAUAGAAUCACUAAGUUUACUUAAAAAUGUAAGUAAAGUUAUCUUAUUUACAUUUCCCUACAUAAAACGGUUGCCAUGGGAAAACAAAUUAAGAUAUAAGCUUAAUAGCCAAUUGUA